GGGAUCAUAGGCAGCCACCUUAGUGGUAGGGCAGUGACUCAGGACUAUAACCUGAAGAUGGCUCUGAAUCAUGUGCUUGUUUGUUGAAGGCCAGAGAAGAAGAUGGGUGAGAGUUGAGGUAAUGAGUCCUCUCAGCUUCACUCCCUUUUCACUUUCCAUCUGAUGCCACAUCUCUAUGGCUUUUUCUCUGAGCUGUUCCUGAAUAAUUAGUGGAGAGAGCACUUGUUUAGGAGUUAGGUAUCAUGGGAUUUGGGUUUAAAUGUGGCUUGACCACUAAAAAUUUGAAGGCAGAAGGAUGUGUUUCCGGAUCCUCAACCCACUGAGUGAGGCCAGGGAUCGAACCCACAACCUCAUGGUUCCUAGUCAGAUUCAUUAAUCACUGCAUCAUGAGAGGAACUCCUGUUUUUAUUUUUUUAAAUAUAGUUGCUUUAAAAUAUUGUGUUAGUUUCAGGUGUACAGAAAAUGAUUCAGUUAUACAUACAUACAUAUAUAUGUAUAUAUUUAUAUUCUUUUUUCCUAUUCUUUUCCAUUAUAGUUUACUACAAGUUAUUGAAUAUAGUUCCCUGUAUUAGUCCUUGUUUAUUUUAUGUGUGAUAGUGUACAUCUGUUAAUCCCAUACUCCCAAUUUAUCCUUCCACUAUUGGUAACCAUCAGUUUGUUUUCUAUGUCUGUGAGUCUGUUUCUGUUUUAAAUAAGUUUAUUUGUACUAUUUUUUAGAUUCUACAUAUAAUUGAUAUCAUAUAAUAUUUGUCUUUCUCUGUCUGACUUAACUUAGUAUGAUAAUGUCUAUGUCCAUCCAUAUUGCUAUGGAAUUAUUUCCUUCUCUUUUAUGGCUAACAAAAGGGUAUAUCUUUUUUUUUUUUUUAAUGGAAGUUCCUAGGCUAGGGGUAAAAUUGGAGCUGCAGCUGCCAGCUUACACCAUAGCUUGUGGCAAUGUUGGGUCCUUAACCCACUGCCACUGAGCCAGGCUAGCGAUUGAACUCACAUCCGCAUGGAGACAGUGUUGGGUCCUUAACCCACUGCGCCACAGUAGGAAUUCCAAAAGGGUAUAUUUUUAAGCAAGUAUAGACUUUGGAGUUUAAUAACUUUCACUCAAAGCCAGAACUCAGCUCUUACUAGUUGAUUAUGUGAUUUUUGGUAAAGCAUAGGCAAGCCUUAGGCUUAGUUUUCUAUUGUAGGAAAUAAGGAGGACAUUUUACCUUUCAGGGUAGUUUAAAAGAGCAAAUAAAAUGUUAUUGUCCUUGCUCCUUCCUUGUGUGACAUUAAGUUCUCACUUCACUCUCUGGAUUAUGUCUUAGGCAAAAUGGUAGAGAUGAGGGAUUUUCCCCAGUGGAGUCACUAAUAUGCUUCCUGUGGUUCCGAGCUAUGCCUCACUUGAUUGUGAGUCCAAGCAGGAGACCAGGCAGGGGUUGACCACAUGAUCUAACCUCCAUGAUGGUGGCGAUGAGGAUGGGUAGAUGCAGGUGAGGGAAAGGCCUGAGAGCUGUGCUUUUUCUUAUGUGUGGAAAAUAUUUUUGCACAGUACUCAAAGGGGAUGUAGAGGAGGAAGUAUGACUGAUGGUUUGUAUAUUGUUGGUAUUGCAGAAAUAAGAAAGAGAAAAUGCCUAGCAAAUGAAAACCAAAAUCCAGACAAACUUGGGCAAAAAAAAAGAGUGGUAAAUCACUCUUCUGGGAAUGCAUGAGUGUUAGUCCAUGUUUUCAGUUCUCAGCAGAGUUCUUUCAGACAAAGAGCACAUAUCCACCAGUUCAAAUACAAAAAGGGAGAUGGCGGAAGAAGAGGUUAAAUAAGGGGCCAGUUUGGAAUUGGAGAUAAAAAAUUAUGCUGUUUUCAUGGUUUCUGAGGAAUUUGUUUCUCUCUGUAUGUCCUCUCUGAUGUUUUUCUUGACCAACUUGCUCUGCUCACUCACCUUGUAAGUGUCUCUAUGUGACUUCACUAGCCCCUACUUUGUAUCCUGGAUUCCAUGGAUGCUGCAGAUGGCAUAUUUCAUUUUCUUUUAUGGCUGACAAAAGGGUGUAUCUCAGGCCCAGUACCCACCACAGACCAUCUUUAUGUUCUGUUAGCACAGAUUCAGAGAGAGGGGAUCUUGUUGAUAAUUGGUCAGUAAAUGAGUUGACUGGCUUCGGGGUAGAUGUCAAUCCUAGAACUGGUUGCAUGACAGUUUUCUAGAAGGGACUAUGAGAGAGACAGUCAAUGAAAUUGCAUCUAGUACUUCAUUUCUCCUUAUAAUAGAUGGUCUACUAUCCUUCUUUAGUACAGAAAGUGGUUAACUGGUUACCUUUCCAUACCAGAGGUUGUGGGGAUCAGAGGAGUUUGAAAAGUUUGAUGUAGAGGAGCAGCUAAUUGAAAUGUUCUCCCAUGAACUACUAAUCCAGGGAUGGAAAAAGAGAACGCUCCUUUUUUCUGGUAUCUGAAGUAAUGCACACUUAGUAAGUCAGUAGUUUUUAGAUUUUGAGUGCUUCCAGAGCAAUAAAAUCAGAAAACAGUGGGGACUGACAGAGAUUGUGGACCUUAUAUCUUGCCAAGUAAAAACCCUAUAGGUUUUUUAAAAACCCAAGUAAAAACCCUUUAGGGGGGAGUUCCCGUCGUGGCGCAGUGGUUAACGAAUCCGACUAGGAACCAUGAGGUUGCGGGUUCGGUCCCUGCCCUUGCUCAGUGGGUUAACGAUCUGGCGUUGCCGUGAGCUGUGGUGUAGGUUGCAGACGCGGCUCAGAUCCCGCGUUGCUGUGGCUCUGGCGUAGGCCGGUGGCUACAGCUCUGAUUCAACCCCUGGCCUGGGAACCUCCAUAUGCCGUGGAAGUGGCCCAAGAGAUAGCAACAACAACAACAACAACAAUAACAACAACAAAAAGACAAAAGACAAAAAAAAAAAAAAAAAAAAAAAAAAAAAAACCCUUUAGGUUUCUUAAAGCCCCAACAAUUUCUACUUUUUAAAAUCAUUUCAUGAAAGAAAAAUAUUUCCACCCCAAAGAUAUACAAAGGGCAUAUUAUCAGACUAUAGGAGAAUCCUUUAAGUUGGCACAUUUAACCUCAUGAGGAACCAACUAUAUUGUCCUUCCUUAUUUCCUCAGUGUAUGCAAGCUCUUGAAAAUUUCAUAACAGGCUGACACUAGUUAAUAGGUUAGUGUUCUUUUUUUUUAAGAUUUAUUGAAAUAAAAAAAAAUUUAUUGAAAUAUAGUUGAUUUACAAUGUUGUGAUAAUUUCUGCUAUACAACAAAGAAUAGGUUGGUACUCAUCAGCUGACUUGUGUUUGGAAAUGGUUGCUAUAGUUUAGCAGGAACAUAUAGGUCAUAGAAGGUUAGAGCAAGUCAUCAAGUGACAGCAUAAGAAAACAACAUGAUUUGAGCAUUCAUUCAUUCAUUGAACAAAUAUUUGAGCAGGAUUGUGUCGUUCAUGGAUAUCAAAUAACUCAUUCAAGAUUACUUAUUAAUUUUUGUUAAUUGCAGAGUUGGGUGAACAAAAAAUCAAUAAUCUUUCUACAUAAACCCUUUUGACUUUCAAAUUAGACAGAUUGUGGGAGAUGAAAUACAAUUAUUAAACAUGUAGAAGCAAGACUUUAAAUUGAAUUUCUCAAAGGAGUCAUGGCCAAAUUAAACCUCUAGGGAAAAAAAAAGUUAAAUUAGCUAUUGCUAUUCAAAUUUAAAAAAAAAUUGUUUUGCCAGUAUAUUAAAAUAUAAAAACCAGAACCAUUUUCAUUAUAUUAAAUCUUUAAAAUUUCUUUCAACUUUUUCUUCUUGAUAGACAUUACUUAUAAGCACAUAUAUAUAGAAAACCUUUUUAUUUCAAGAAAGACUGCUUCGAUAGUUAUGUUUUUGUUCAUAACAAUUUCCCUGUCAUUCUUCAAGGCAUUAUAUCAUUUAUGUGGUGUCUGGAAAUUUUCUGAUUCUUAAGAUUUUUGAUCAUGACCAAAUUUCAUUCAGGUGCUGCUCGUCUUCAAAUAAAAAAGUUUGAAUAAAACCGUUAUCUUGGUUUGACAGGGAGCAAAAGUAAAGGGAGAGAUGUCCCAAUUCUCUCAGUUUCCAUUAACUUGAAGCAGGAGCUUUGCCUGUGGAAAGAAGAUAUUCUGUUGGGAAAGAGGCUGGGAAGAUUAAGUGGCUUUCACACCACCAUGUAGGAUGCCAUUCACUGCAUAUCUAGAUAACCUGAUUUCCAGAUCCACACAGAGCUCUAUGCUACACUCUGUGCAGUCAGUACCAGCACCGAUUUACUCUGGGACCCUUCCCUACAUUACAGGUCACUUACAGUGCAAGUGAUUUGCACUUUAAUGGAGUUGCAAAGUCUUUGAACUUCGUUCCUCUCUGUUCCAUUCACAUUGCCUAAUGCUUAUGUUUAAUAUUGUUAAUGUGUUUCUGGGUCUUUCCUUGUUCUUAGAUGCAUGUAUAGGAUUGAAGGAUUUACAUGAAAUUAUGUUUGGCUUUAAAUUAUGAAAAAUUUAGUAAAUGCAGAAAAGAACAUAAAUACAAAUUACGAGUAAUUCCAUUUCCCAAAGAAAACCACUGUUAGCAUUUUGGCACAUGGCCUUCUCCCUAGCCUCCUGCAAAAUAGAAAUAAAUAAUAAAAAAAAAAAUACUGUGUAGAAUAGCAGUGACUGCAGAAGCUUCUCCAUUUUAUAGGAGUGGCAUAAUUCACUUCAGGAGAUAGUUUUUUGUUUUGUUUUUUAAUUUAGGACAGCAGUAGUUCAGGAAUAAUUCUGAUUCUGGACAUUAGAAUCCAAAUCAGCCCCACAUUUGACAAAACAAAUAAGAGACUUAAUACAACCAUUUGCAGCAACACGGAUGGACCUAGAGAUUAUUAUACCAAGUGAUAUUAAGUCAGAAAGAGAAAGACAGGAGUUCCUGUCAUGGCUCAGUGGUUAACAAACCCUAAUAGUAUCUAUGAGGAUGCGGAUUCGAUCCCUGGCCUUGCUCAGUGGGUUGAGGAUCCAGCAUUGCCAUGAGGUGUAUAGGUUGCAGAUUUGGCUUGGAUUCCACAUUGCUCUGGCCUGUGGUGUAGGCCAGCAGCUACAGCUCCAAUUCAACCCCUAGCCUGGGAACCUCCAUAUGCCUCGGGUGCAGUCCUAAAAAGACAAAAAAA
rnacentral:lncRNA from 1 species